GUGGGGAAUCUUCCGCAAUGGACGAAAGUCUGACGGAGCAACGCCGCGUGAGUGAAGAAGGUUUUCGGAUCGUAAAGCUCUUUCGUCAGGGACGAACGUAUUUCUUGUAAAUAAUGAGAGAUAGUGACGGUACCUGAAUAAGAAGCCACGGCUAACUACGUGCCAGCAGCCGCGGUAAUACGUAGGUGGCAAGCGUUGUCCGGAAUUAUUGGGCGUAAAGCGCGCGCAGGCGGGAUAUCAAGUCUGUCUUAAAAGUGCGAGGCUCAACCUCGUGAGGGGACAGAAACUGGUAUUCUUGAGUGUCGGAGAGGAAAGUGGAAUUCCAAGUGUAGCGGUGAAAUGCGUAGAGAUUUGGAAGAACACCAGUGGCGAAGGCGACUUUCUGGACGAUGUCUGACGCUGAGGCGCGAAAGCUAGGGGAGCGAACGGGAUUAGAAACCCCUGUAGUCC
rnacentral:rRNA from 1 species